UCUCUCUUGGAAUAACAUUGCCCAAAGGGUGAAUAAAGCAAAUUGUGGCAAUAAUAGUGAUUUAAUGAUUGGAGAAAUCCUGAACAUGAUACUUGUCUGUUGUGCUGAAUCUUUUAUUACUCUUAUGAUUUGCAGGUGGUUGUAAAUAAGCUGUUUACUUUAACAGGUUUGCUUUCUAGCUGAAUUGCAAAAUACAACUAGAACGAUUAAUUGAGACUAAUCGCAACUAACCGGAAACUGAGGAGGUUCUAUAUAAGGAAGAACUAAAACAGGUAUAAAGUGCAUUUGAUCUUUAAUUGCAGGUUGUUGCUCAUUAUUGAAGUGUGCUCAUAAAGGCAAAACCUAUAUAGGGGGUCUAUAAUUUGGUUUGUGUUUUAAUAAUUUAGGUAUGGCAAAAUUAAAGGUUUCUAGACAAUUUAGGGAACGAGUGAGAAGCAUAAUUAGAUGAUC